rnacentral:lncRNA from 1 species
GUGCUUUGCUCAACCGAGUAUCGGCGCUAAGCCCCAUGAUUUCACCUCGUCCUUGAGAGACCAGCGCAAGUCAACCCAAAUAAAACAUCCCGACCCUGUUCACCUCUCCCGGAGGGUCGUUUUCCUUCGAGACACGUGGACGAAGCCGUACACCGCAUUAGGAUAAACUUUGGUCCAGAGUGUGUCAGUGGGUGUCAUCCCGUCUGCAAAAGUGAAAAUGUUGAUGAAUAUAAGUAUGUAUGUAUUGAAUUUUGACCAGAGGUCCAACUUUUCCAACUCAUCCCUUUGACGCAUCUCAAUGUGGAGCAUUUUUUUUCUCUGAAAUAAAAAGUUGUUCUUUUUUUUUUAAACUCUUUGACUAGAGGACAACUAACAAAGCUGUUAAAAGUAAUAUUAAUAGAAUAAUAGAAUGACAGACUCUUGGUCACCUUAGAAACAUGAAAAGUGUUAAGUAACAAAAUUGAUGUACGUUUUUUUAUUUAUUUUUGCAUGUAUGCAUGUUUUGAA